UCACUGACUUCAGAGCUGAACACAGUGGGAAUUAUUACUGUGAAGCCCAGAACAGCAGAGGACGCCAUAACUCCACUUUACAUCUGACUGUUGCAGCAGUUUUUCCAAAAGCAUGGAAAAUAGCCAUCAUUGGAACUACCACUGCUGUUUUCCUGGUCAUUAUAUGGCUUUCUGUCUUCCUACUGAUAAGGAGAAAAAAGAGGGCCUCUAAGCAAUCAUCUGAGCCUGGAGAGAGACCAGACAACAGAGAAAAUUCAAAGGAGCAGGUUGAAGUCCACUAUGCGAGUGUCCGAUUCUCUAAGAACCAGACAGACCAUGUCUACUCCAACAUCAGACCAGCUGGACCCUGCACACAUGAAGAAGAAGAAGAAGUGGAGUAUGCUGCAGUCAAACUCAACAGUGCCAGUAGUCCUCCAAGAACCAGAGGUCAGAGAACAGUGGAGGAUCAAGCUGUAUUGUACAGUACAGUCAACAAAACUGCUUGGCACAACAGGAAGCUCUAGUCUAAGGAACAUGUUUGUAUUUUUGUGACAUGUCUCAACAAAUAUUAGAUGGAUUUUUAACAAAAUUUGGGAGAAAUAUCCAUGGUUCUCCAAGGAUAAAUCCUACUGAUCAGUGGGAUUUCAUGACUUUUCAUCUGAAAUUUCUCAACUGCUGUAGGAUGGAUUGCCAUGACAUUUGUCACAUUUAAUUAAUUUGGUUAUCCCUUAAAUACUUUGUUGGU